rnacentral:sRNA from 1 species
UAUAAUAAAUAAAUAAAUCUUUAAAAAAAAAGUCCACAGACUUCCUCAUCUUAAAUGUCCGUCGGGGAAAUGCUGCAGAAGCAAGCACAGGGUGGAACCUGCUGCAAGAGCUCGACUUAACUCUGUGCUGCCCUUUUGUGGAGGGGUAAGAGGUUCAGGUCUGCCGACUUCACUAUUAAAGUGUAUGCAUCAUUGUGAGUUUUCUUUGAGAACAUGGCAUCUCCUUUCGCCAUUUUUGCCUUGCUCCCCAAACUCCUUCCAGAUCCACCCAGCUUUGUGUAAAACAACAAGAAACCCUUCAAGGCCAAUUUUUGCUGCCCAAAUAUUCUUGGAUGUGUGGCCUUCCAGUGGAGUAUGGUACACUUCCAUAGGCUACCAGCUGACAACCGUUCCUUGGCUAAGAGUGGAGUCGUGUGCUGGAGUCUGCACAGGCUUGGGCUGGUGCGGCUGCUUUGAGUGCGUCCGUGGAGCUGCCUUUUGUCUGUGGACCUGCCUUGUGCUCACACACUGUGUGGUUGUUGGAAUAAGAUGGCCCCCACGGGCUCAGACAUUUGAAAGUUCAGUCACCAAGGAGUGGUGCUUUUUGAAAGGGUCAGAAGGAUUAAGAGAUGUGGCCCUGUGACAGGAAGUGUGUCACUGGGGAUGGCCUUGAGAUUUCAAAUCCUGUGCCAUGCCCAGUUUCUUUUCCCUUUGUGUACAAACCAGGAUGUAGUUCUCAGCCAUUGCUCCAGAGUCUGCUUAGAUGCUGUCAUGCUUCCUGUCAUGGUGAUAACCUUAAAACUGAGCAAGCGUCUAGUUAAAUGCUUUCUCUUGUGAUAGCUGUGGCCCACGGUAAUGUCUCAGUGACUGCUUGCACAAGGGCCCAGUCAAUGUGGGCAGUGGGAAUACAAGAAGGUAGCGGGGUGUGAGCCUGAGGCGAGCCAGAGAACACCCUUCCUCCACGGCCCCUGCUACACAGUUCCUGCCCUGACUUCCCUCAGUGACCGGGUACGGCAUGGCUAUGUAGGAUAAAACAAAACCUUUCUCCAAAUGCUUUCAGUUGUGAGUGACGGCCAUGGAAGUAGAGAGCAAACUAGAGGUAAGGAAGCGUCUACAGUCAGUUUCCAUGACUUUCUCAAAAAGGUCUUUGGCAUGAUUACUCCUUUCCAUAUUCCCUUCUCCACCCUGUCCUCCCUUCCCUUCCUGUUACAACCUUUCCCUUUAACCCUUUGGUUCUGUAUUCUGCUGUAGAGAGGCCUGGCCAUCCAUGAUUCUGUAUUCUGUUAUAGAGAGGCCUGGUCAUCCAUGAUUCUGUAUUCUGCUGUAGAGAGGCCUGGCCAUCCAUGAUUCUGUAUUCUGUUAUAGAGAGGCCUGGUCAUCCAUGAUUCUGUAUUCUGCUGUAGAGAGGCCUGGUCAUCCAUGAUUCUGUAUUCUGCUGUAGAGAGGCCUGGUCAUCCAUGAUUCUGUAUUCUGUUAUAGAGAGGCCUGGUCAUCCAUGAUUCUGUAUUCUGCUGUAGAGAGGCCUGGUCAUCCAUGAUUCUGUAUUCUGCUGUAGAGAGGCCUGGUCAUCCAUGAUUCUGUAUUCUGUUAUAGAGAGGCCUGGUCAUCCAUGAUUCUGUAGUCUGUUAUAGAGAGGCCUGGUCAUCCAUGUUCACUGCUAUCCUAUUCCAACAGCCAGGGAAUGAAAACAGCGUGUCUGUCCAUCAAAUGAUGGAUUUCAACCAGAGCAAAGCAGCACUCUCCCUAAUGCAGAGGAAGGCCUGUUAGAACACAGGCAGAAAUGGGGGCUGGCAGAGAAGAGGAACCUGAUCCAGGCCCCAAGAUGGUAACACUUUGGGGACCUCAUCUCGGGAUGUUUUCUGAGGACCAUCAGCUCAUCGAGGACAGUGUAAACCAAGGCAAAGCACUGAAGGCAUAGGAAGGUGUGGCCAUUGGGCUCCAGCUCUCCCUCAUCUUGGAUUUGGGGGGUAGGGAAGUCCUCCACCAUUCAUGAGGGUGUGGUUGCCAUUUCAUUUCUUCCCAGCUUGUGAUAGUUUCGUUUGGAACAAGCAAAAGAAACUUAUUCUAAGUGCUGCUAUCUCACUUUCAGAUUCCAUUUAAUCAUAGGGAAAAACCAAAUUCAAAGUCCCAGGCCCUAGGGGAGCUGGGGACUUACCAAUAGCUGAACGGCUUCUGUUGUAGGCAAACAGCUGUCUGAGUCCAGUCAUCUCAAGAACAACUUCUCCGUCUUGCUGCCAGGGUCAAGCAAGUUCACGAUCCCAGGCCCAGGAACCAACUCCUAUCCUGAUUAAUGGAAACUCCCUUGUUCAACCCUUUAUGUCAAAAUAUGAUUGGACAAUGCUACAGCCCACCCAGCUCCCCCUCUCUUUAUGGUUUCAUCCCUUAAAUAUGCUGUGCAACGUCCCUUCAGGGUCAUAGUUUAGAUCCUGAUUCUGUUCUGUGGUCCCGAUCAAUCGGUAGCAGUUUGAUUAAAAUACACUUUUGUCAUCUGCA